rnacentral:rRNA from 1 species
ACGUAGGAGGCGAGCGUUAUCCGGAUUUACUGGGCGUAAAGCGCGUGCAGGCGGUUCAAUAAGUUGGAUGUGAAAGCUCCCGGCUCAACUGGGAGAGGACGUUGAAGACUGUUGGGCUAGAGGAUGAGAGAGGGAAGUGGAAUUCCGAGUGUAGGGGUGAAAUGCGUAGAUAUGCGGAGGAACACCAGUGGCGAAGGCGGCUUCCUGGCUCGGAACUGACGCUCAGGCACGAAAGCUAGGGUAGCAAACGG